UACAGAGGGGGCAAGCGUUGUUCGGAAUUACUGGGCGUAAAGGGCGCGUAGGCGCCUUCUAAGUCGAACGUGAAAUCCCUGGGCUCAACCCAGGAACUGCGUCCGAUACUGGCAGGCUUGAAUCCGGGAGAGGGAUGUGGAAUUCCAGGUGUAGCGGUGAAAUGCGUAGAUAUCUGGAGGAACACCGGUGGCGAAGGCGGCAUCCUGGACCGGUAUUGACGCUGAGGCGCGAAAGCCAGGGGAGCAAACGGGG
rnacentral:rRNA from 1 species